AAAAUUCAAAUGGUGGAAAUGGGAUAAAAAUGUGGUAUAGGAACAGACCAGGAAGAAGAUUCCAGUUUUGCUAAUGAGUUGUCUGAUGCCAGUUAAAUUCCCUUUCCUUGGUUAUAGUUCCAUUGCCACCACCUCAGAGAAGCCUUCCUUGACCACCUCAACAAAGCAGCACUCCCCUAUCAGAAGGAAAAAGCAUAACUUUACAGUGGAGAAAUUUGUCAGACAGCAUUUUAACCAACGAUCAAAGUGAACAUCAUCAGUAUUUGAGGCAGGCUGACAAGCUGAAAUUGGGUGCCACCUGAUAUGAUGCACUGAGAAGAACGCAGCGCCGCUCUUGCGAUGGUGAUGCAUAACCCGAAUCUGGUCAAGAUGAAACAAAUAGAGGGAGAGUCUGCAAAUUAGCUGGCCCGUCCCCCGACGCCCCAUUGGGCGGGCCGCCCGUCACUCGCCGCGCA
rnacentral:lncRNA from 1 species